rnacentral:lncRNA from 1 species
UCAACCUCUCUCGCUCGGGAGUUUCAGGCCCACUCCCCUUGGAAAUAUCGCAUCUCUCCAAACUGGUUUCACUCGAUCUCUCCUACAAUCAUAAUCUCAUUCUCAAUGAUGGUAAUUCCGAGUUUCAGCAUCAAUUCCUCAAGUUUCUCCUUCAUAAUCUUACCCAAUUGAGACACCUUUCGCUUGCUUAUGUUCCCAUAUAUUCAGUUUUACCCAGAAAUCUUUCUUCUUUUUCUUCUCUAACACUUCUCGAUCUUUCUGCCACUGGAUUGCGCAGGGAAUUGCCGCAUGAAAUCUUCAUUCUUCCGAACUUGAAAACAUUAAGGUUACGUGGUAACCAUAAUGUCACCAGUGUUUUACCACAAUCCAACUUGAG